GUAGCAAGGUUAACCGUAUAGGGGAGCCGUAGGGAAACCGAGUCUUAACCGGGCGUUAAGUUGCAGGGUAUAGACCCGAAACCCGGUGAUCUAGCCAUGGGCAGGUUGAAGGUUGGGUAACACUAACUGGAGGACCGAACCGACUAAUGUUGAAAAAUUAGCGGAUGACCUGUGGCUGGGGGUGAAAGGCCAAUCAAACCGGGAGAUAGCUGGUUCUCCCCGAAAGCUAUUUAGGUAGCGCCUCGUGAAUUCAUCUCCGGGGGUAGAGCACUGUUUCGGCUAGGGGGCCAUCCCGGCUUACCAACCCGAUGCAAACUGCGAAUACCGGAGAAUGUUAUCACGGGAGACACACGGCGGGUGCUAACGUCCGUCGUGAAGAGGGAAACAACCCAGACCGCCAGCUAAGGUCCCAAAGUCAUGGUUAAGUGGGAAACGAUGUGGGAAGGCCCAGACAGCCAGGAUGUUGGCUUAGAAGCAGCCAUCAUUUAAAGAAAGCGUAAUAGCUCACUGGUCGAGUCGGCCUGCGCGGAAGAUGUAACGGGGCUAAACCAUGCACCGAAGCUGCGGCAGCGA
rnacentral:rRNA from 1 species